rnacentral:rRNA from 1 species
GAUGAACGCUGGCUACAGGCUUAACACAUGCAAGUCGUGGGGAAACGGCAUUAUGUGCUUGCACAUUCUGGACGUCGACCGGCGCACGGGUGAGUAUCGCGUAUCCAACCUGCCCCUUACUUGGGGAUACCCCGUUGAAAGACGGCCUAAUACCCGAUGUGUUUCAUUGACGGCAUCCGAUAUGAAACAAAGGUUUUCCGGUAAGGGAUGGGGAUGCGUCUGAUUAGCUUGUUGGCGGGGCAACGGCCCACCAAGGCGACGAUCAGUAGGGGUUCUGAGAGGAAGGUCCCCCACAUUGGAACUGAGACACGGUCCAAACUCCUACGGGAGGCAGCAGUGAGGAAUAUUGGUCAAUGGACGCAAGUCUGAACCAGCCAAGUAGCGUGCAGGAUGACGGCCCUAUGGGUUGUAAACUGCUUUUAUGUGGGAAUAAAGUGGCGCACGUGUGCGCCAUUGCAUGUACCUCAUGAAUAAGGACCGGCUAAUUCCGUGCCAGCAGCCGCGGUAAUACGGAGGGUCCGGGCGUUAUCCGGAUUUAUUGGGUUUAAAGGGAGUGUAGGCGGUCUGUUAAGCGUGUUGUGAAAUUUAGGUGCUCAACAUUUAACUUGCAGCGCGAACUGUCAGACUUGAGUACACGCAGCGCAGGCGGAAUUCAUGGUGUAGCGGUGAAAUGCUUAGAUAUCAUGAGGAACUCCGAUCGCGAAGGCAGCCUGCGGGGGUGUUACUGACGCUUAAGCUCGAAGGUGCGGGUAUCGAACAGG